rnacentral:rRNA from 1 species
UAAUACGUAGGGGGCAAGCGUUGUCCGGAAUUAUUGGGCGUAAAGCGCGCGCGGGCGGUUAAUUAAGUUGGGUGUUUAAGCCCGGGGCUCAACCCCGGUUCGCAUCCAAAACUGGUUGACUUGAGUGUAGGAGAGGAAAGUGGAAUUCCACGUGUAGCGGUGAAAUGCGUAGAGAUGUGGAGGAACAUCAGUGGCGAAGGCGACUUUCUGGCCUAUAGCUGACGCUGAGGCGCGAAAGCGUGGGGAGCAAACAGGA